AUUGAACGCUGGCGGCAGGCCUAACACAUGCAAGUCGAGCGGAUGAAGGGAGCUUGCUCCUGGAUUCAGCGGCGGACGGGUGAGUAAUGCCUAGGAAUCUGCCUGGUAGUGGGGGAUAACGUCCGGAAACGGGCGCUAAUACCGCAUACGUCCUGAGGGAGAAAGUGGGGGAUCCUCGGACCUCACGCUAUCAGAUGAGCCUAGGUCGGAUUAGCUAGUUGGUGGGGUAAAGGCCUACCAAGGCGACGAUCCGUAACUGGUCUGAGAGGAUGAUCAGUCACACUGGAACUGAGACACGGUCCAGACUCCUACGGGAGGCAGCAGUGGGGAAUAUUGGACAAUGGGCGAAAGCCUGAUCCAGCCAUGCCGCGUGUGUGAAGAAGGUCUUCGGAUUGUAAAGCACUUUAAGUUGGGAGGAAGGGCAGUAAGUUAAUACCUUGCUGUUUUGACGUUACCAACAGAAUAAGCACCGGCUAACUUCG
rnacentral:rRNA from 1 species